CACGUGGAGUUUGGAUCUCUUCGUACGCUAAGCAAAAUUAAUCGCUAUAAAAGCAUGUUUAUACUUAAUUUAAGACAAAAAAUCUGAUUGCUGCUCUUACAGACCACCAUAAUAACUGUAAAAUUGAAUAUUAAGCGUGUUUCAGUCAGGGCUAGCGUACAUAAUGGCGGGCAGCACGCGGGGGUUCUUUCUGCAGGACGGAGUUCGUCGUGUGAGGCCGCCAUGAGCGCCUUUAUGCACAGUGAGCCCUUUUCACCAAAAUGGUGAUCAUCUGCAUCUGAACAGAACCUAAACCCACCGAGACUGCACAGGUGAUCGGCUGCAUCGGAGCGCAUCCCAACUGAAGCCCUGAGGGUCCGGACUUCAUAGGUGAACACCCAUAUUCUGAAGCCACUGGGAAUCAGCUCUUUCAGAACCAGCUACAGAUGCAGAAGUCUCCUGCUGGACUUGAACAUUUAGAUGAAUGUGUCGUGAUUAACAUUGGAGUUAAUCUAUGGUGGAUCAGCACUUCCAGCAGGGAUGUAUUGCACUGAAAUGUGACUAACACUGAACUGAAUCAGUUUUUAUUGAACUUACGUACACCAGCAUUAUACACCACUCUCCUGCCUGCCUGACUGAUAUGCUGGAAUGUUCCCUGGUCUGAUAUACUGUUAUGGGUAUGGCUGCAUGAUUCUGGAGUCAAGUAUAUUGUGAUAUGCUGUACUGAACAAUGAAUAUUUUUCAAUAAAUUCAUCUUCAUCAGAA